CAAAGGCUGAAGGGUGCUUACAGAGCAGUAUAUCCAUUACAUCAGUAACACCUGGGCUUAGAGUAACCUACUUACUCAAUAUUCCCUACUUACCCCCUACUGCAUAGAGCACCCAGACACAGAUGGAUUGAAAUCGCGCCGAGUAAAGGAGGAAUGCGCACUUAUUUACCCAUCAGGUCAGCUGGGUCAGCUCUGCUAGUCACUGAGAUUAAUGGGUAUCACAAACUCAUUGCCAACCACCCUGACUGACAAGACCAUUCCCAAUCACUUUAGUGGCUUAUCCUAGGACACAGAGGCUGGGGUUAGCAAGCAACUUUGUUUGACUAGACGUGUGGUUU
rnacentral:lncRNA from 1 species